AAGUAAGAGACUAAAUGCAAGUUGGGAAAAUGCAGAGAUCAACUUUUAGAGUGUGAAAUAAAGAGCAGCAAGAGCCAGAAUACUCCAGCCCACUUCUGCCCCAGGGACACACAGGCAGCAAGCCCUUGGACGCCUAGUGAGCCCUUUGACGCAAGCAGGGCUCCAGGAUGAGGCUGCAGGAAACAGGGGAGAGGAAAUUCCGGUUUAAGUUGAGAGAUAGGGACCCCAGCCUGGCAGCAGACCCUGCCAAGAUUCGCUUUCAGAAUGUGUAAAACCUCCUUCCCACCCAUAUUUCAUGAGUGAACUGGAAAAGGGGAAGGAAGUAGGGUGGGUCCCAGACUCAACAAAGGGACUAAAGAAAGCGGUGUGGGGAGGGGGAGGGACACAGACAGGGCCCCUGUGGAGAGCAAGCAUUGCUAGGCACGGCUUUCACGCACGUUUUAUAGACUUUUGUUUCUGCAGAGUGGAAAUUAGGAGGUCGAGUUUAGGAGCUGCGUGUUGCUACUCCUCUUCUACAAGGUAAUGCACUAGGAAGCAUAAAUGACAUUU
rnacentral:lncRNA from 1 species